GAUGAACGCUGGCGGCGUGCCUAAUACAUGCAAGUCGAACGCAUUGUGGUUGAAAUGAUAUGAAGAACUUGUUCAGAUUUGAUUUUCAACAUUGCAAUGAGUGGCGAACGGGUGAGUAACACGUGGGAAACCUACCUCUUAGCAGGGGAUAACAUUUGGAAACAAAUGCUAAUACCGUAUAAUAAUUAAAACCGCAUGGUUUUAGUUUAAAAGAUGGUCUUGCUAUCACUAAGAGAUGGUCCCGCGGUGUAUUAGUUAGUUGGUGAGGUAAUGGCUCACCAAGACAAUGAUACAUAGCCGAGUUGAGAGACUGACCGGCCACAAUGGGACUGAGACACGGCCCAUACUCCUACGGGAGGCAGCAGUAGGGAAUCUUCCACAAUGGACGAAAGUCUGAUGGAGCAACGCGCGUGUGUAGAUGAAGGUUUCGGCUCGUAAAACACUGUUGUAAGAGAAGAAUGACAUUGAGAGUAACUGUUCAAUGUGUGACGGU
rnacentral:rRNA from 1 species